rnacentral:rRNA from 1 species
GGCUCCUCGUCUAAAAUCAAAUGGGGAGUCGGACCUGCCCGGUGAAUUUUUUUAACGGCCGCGGUACUCUGACCGUGCAAAGGUAGCAUAAUCAUUUGCCUUAUAAUUGAAGGCUAGUAUGAAUGGUUUGACAAGAAUAUAACUGUCUCUAUAUGAUUUUAUAGAAUUUUAUAUUUAGGUGAAGAAGCCUAGUUGUAAUUAAAAGACAAGAAGACCCUGUCGAGCUUUAAAGAAAUUAAUAGAUUAUUUAUAAAUAUAGCUAAAAAUUUUUCUAUUGAGAAUUUUAGUUGGGGCGACUGAGGAACAAAAGAAGCUUCCUUUUAAUAAGUUUUGAUAUUUACAAAUAAUGACCCAAAAAUUUUGAUUAAGGAAAUUAGUUACCGUAGGGAUAACAGCAUUAUCUUUUUUGAGAGUUCUUAUCGAAAAAAGGGCUUGUGACCUCGAUGUUGGACCAGAAUAUCCCAAAGAUGCAGCAGUCUUUAAAGGUUGGUCUGUUCGACCAUUAAAAUUCUACG